GUCAUCAAGAUUGUUCAUUUUGGAAAUUGUUCUGCCAAGACUUACUCAUCUCUUCUAGUUUGUUGCUCGACUUGCUCCUCUGAACAAUCUUAAUUAUAUAUAUAUAAUGUACACAAACAAAUGGACAAAAGUCAUACUCAUGAAGUAGAGGUUCAACGUUCAAGUACUAUAAAUAGAGUUAGUAGCAGCCAAAAGAGCAGCACCAAGCCCAGAUACGUCUUUGGCAUGUAUGAUCACAAUGUAACUUCGAUUAUCGCCAAGAAGCUCGACUAGUGCUUCUUCCAUAUACUGUUGAUACUGUGGGUAGUUCUCGUAGAGUGAACCGUCCAUAGCCACAACGGUUCUUUUACCUGAAUCCAUUCUUUUGGUCUCUUCUUCAAUCUUCUCCACAAUUGCAACUAUACCAGCUGUUAGGGGUUAGAUUUGGGCUUGCUUUUCCCAAGGCCCAAAUCCAAGUCAAAGGCCUAAGCAGAAUGUUAAGUCAAGAGGGUAGGCUCGUCAAAACCCUGGAGGAAUGCCCUACACGCAGAAGGCUAUAAAUACGGAAUAGCAUGUCUUGUCAAAGGAGAUUCCAGGAGGACACUUAGAGACAAAGAGUAGCUCAUCAGUUCGCCCGUCUCAAGCAGCUCGUCAGCUCACCCGUCCGAAGUAUCUCGCGAGGAGGACACUUAGAGACAAAGAGUAGCUCAUCAGUUCGCCCGUCUCAAGCAGCUCGUCAGCUCACCCGUCCGAAGUAUCUCGCCAGGAGGACACUUAGAGACAAAGAGUAGCUCAUCAGUUCGCCCGUCUCAAGCAGCUCGUCAGCUCACCCGUCCGAAGUAUCUCGCCAGCCGGUCCGCCUCAAGUAGCUCAUCAGUUCGCCCGUCGCAAGCAGCUUGUCAGCUCACCCGUCCGAAGUAUCUCGCCAGCCGGUCCGUCUCAAGUAGCUUAUCAGUUUGCCGGUCUCAAGCAGCUCGUCGGCUCACCCGUCCGAAGUAUCUCGCCAGCCGGUCCGUCAAGUAGCUCAUCCGUUCGCCCGUCUCAAGCAGCUCGUCAGCUCACCCGUCCGAAAUAUCUCGCCAGCCGGUCCGUCUCAAGUAGCUCAUAGUUCACCCGUCUCGUCAGCCGGUCCGUCUCAAGUAGCUCAUCCGUUCGCCCGUCUCAAGCAGCUCGUCAGCUCACCCGUCCGAAGUACCUCGUUUGCCCAUCCAUCUUGAGUAGCUCGUUUACUCGUCCGUCCGAAGUGUCUCGCCAACUUGCCCGCCCAAAGUAACUAACCUACUCGCACGUCUCGAGAAGCCAUUCAACUCGUCACUUAUCCGCCGGAUCAUCCCUAAAACUGCCUAACUCGACAUACGACCUUCCUCCAGUAACGGCCUAGCUCGUUUAUCGCGAUAUGAACUACGUGUGGCUUGAUCCCUUUCUAAGGGUACGUAGGCAGCCUUUUACAAGGUUCAGCUAUCAAGAUCGUCUUCCGGCCUCAAACUCGUCUUUCAUCUACAAUCGGCUCGUUCUUACUCUAUUUAUGCUUGUUGAAGAAAUCAUCCUUUGUAAUCCGUCCAAUUCGCCUAAGUCGCGGGCUCGUCAUUAAUAGAAAGAUUCUUCUUCCUUCCCUAGAGAUCCCAUUUUCGUACUUGUUUAAUUCGUGCAUUAACACCAGCUCCUGCUAGACGCCCUCCGCGUUUCACUACU
rnacentral:sRNA from 1 species